AACGUAGGUGGCAAGCGUUAUCCGGAAUUACUGGGCGUAAAGGGUGUGCAGGCGGGGAAGCAAGUGGUGUAUGAAAUAUCCCAGCUUAACUGGGAGGGGUUAUGCCAGACUGCUUUUCUAGAGGACGAGAGAGGGGGGGUGGAAUUCCGGGUGUAGUGGUGAAAUGCGUAGAGAUCCGGAGGAACCCAGAGGCCGAAGGCGGCCCCCUGGCUCGUACCUGACGCUCAGCCACGAAAGCAUGGGAGCGACGGG
rnacentral:rRNA from 1 species